AGGUCCAGCCUGCCCAGUGACUCUGUUCAACGGCCGCGGUAUCCUAACCGUGCGAAGGUAGCGUAAUCACUUGUUCUUUAAUUGAGGACUAGUAUGAAUGGCACCACGAGGGUUAUACUGUCUCCCCUUUCUAAUCAGUGAAACUGAUCUUCCCGUGAAGAAGCGGGAAUUUUCAUAUAAGACGAGAAGACCCUAUGGAGCUUUAAACUUACUACAUAUGCUUGAACAUUUUUAAUUUCAGAAAACCAAAUUACAGCCCAGCAUCUAUGAUUAAUAAGUUUUCGGUUGGGGUGACCGCGGAGCAAAAUCUAACCUCCGCACUGAAAGGACCUUUAACCUUAGCCAAGAGCCACGACCCUACGCAUCAAUAACUUGACACUAAUUGACCCAAUAUAUUGACCAACGAACCAAGUUACCCUAGGGAUAACAGCGCAAUCCACUUCAAGAGCCCCUAUCGACAAGUGGGUUUACGACCUCGAUGUUGGAUCAGGGUAUCCCAGUGGUGCAGCCGCUACUAAAGGUUCGUUUGUUCAACGAUUAAAACCCU
rnacentral:rRNA from 1 species